GCCCUCGUAGUCUAGCUUGGAUAGGACACGAGCUUGCGGAGCUUGGAACCGGGGUUCAAACAUCCUCACUGGCGUUCGUGGUUUCCAACGCUAGAGGCGUUGAAAGUCCCCGCGGGGGCA
rnacentral:tRNA from 1 species